rnacentral:rRNA from 1 species
GACGAACGCUGGCGGCGUGCUUAACACAUGCAAGUCGAGCGGUAAGGCCCUUUCGGGGGGUACACGAGCGGCGAACGGGUGAGUAACACGUGGGUGACCUGCCCUCAGCUCUGGGAUAAGCCUGGGAAACCGGGUCUAAUACCGGAUAUGACUCCAUGACGCAUGUUGUGGGGUGGAAAGCCUUGUGCGGCUGAGGAUGGGCCCGCGGCCUAUCAGCUUGUUGGUGGGGUGANGGCCUACCAAGGCGACGACGGGUAGCCGGCCUGAGAGGGCGACCGGCCACACUGGGACUGAGACACGGCCCAGACUCCUACGGGAGGCAGCAGUGGGGAAUCUUGCGCAAUGGGCGAAAGCCUGACGCAGCGACGCCGCGUGAGGGUGACGGCCU